AUCUUUCCUGUCUUUCUCUCUUUCUUUCCACAACCUAGAGGUGUGGCCAAACCCAAAGGUGUGAUGGUCUGGGAAGGAGGGGAUGGGAUGAUCUCUCCAGACAAACCCAUUCUCCUGUCCCACCUCUGGGUGUUCUGUCUGGUGGUUGGCUGGAGGAAGGAGGGGCUUGACCACACCUGUCCUGAACCUUGUGCUCCCUCUGCAGGUGUUUGACCCUUCACAGUUUGCACUGGGUUCUGUUUGACACAGUCAUGCUUUCUUGCCCUUCUCAGGAGGAGUAAGGAACUGCAUCAGGAAGCAGUUUGCCAUGAACGAGAUGAAGGUGGCGGUGGCCCUGACCCUGCUCCGCUUUGAGCUGGCGCCAGAUCCUUCCAGGGUCCCUGUUCCCUGGCCAAGAAUUGUGUUGAGGUCC